GUUAGCAUAUCUAGAUUAAGACCUUUUACUCAGAAAGCAAAGUUGACCUAUAUCUCGUUACCUGAAUAGAUGAGUACCCACACCUAUGUCUAUGACUUUUUAUUUAGACUGAUAGACAAUGACGAAUGGCAUAGGGGGGUUUCCCACAGACUUAACAAGUACACCACAAGAGACUGAUGUACGUACAUACCUGUCAUCAAUACGCACAUACAUACUAGCCUAUGGUGUAAGUGUACCCUAACAUCUCUGUGGGUGAGCAAUGAAAUUCGGGCAUAAGAAAAAGGAGGUCCGGUAUUUGCCCUAUAAAAGAGGUAACCACCUCAGUAGAUUAUCUCCAUCUCUCCAUUAUCUCCAGUUUCUCCAUUUUCUUACUAGCUUUAGAUCUCCAUUUCUCUUUAUCUCCAUUUCUCACUUACUUCUUCCACUCUAUCUAGCUACAGUGACUGUUACUGUAGGCUAAACUUGUUCUUAAACUUUAAGUUUCAAGGGAACUAGGCUAAGCUUGGUUUCCCUGUUUUAUUCUUUAUUAGGUUUUGAUUUAAGUUUAAGAUAGUCAAGUAAACCCUAGUCAGCUUUAAGCAUUUUCUAAGCACUGCAUCCCUCCCUCAAGAAUUGAGAAACCUGAACUGCAAGGCAGGUCCUGUCUCUCUUACCACCAGGUUAUCAAGGAAGGGUCACAGGCGCAACUUCCUCCUCAGAACUUAUGUGAACAGCAUCCAACUGAAUCACGACAACUGGAGCACAGCAAUUUGCAACCAUAAAAUGGACAUUGAUAUUUCUGAUUUGCUACACCCCUAUCGUUGCUCUAAGGAUGGCCCAGUGCUUGGAUGAGAUCAGACCAUGGAUGAACACUUGGCUGAAGCAGAACCUGAGCAAGGCAGAGGUGAUGCUGGUGGGCAGAGGAAAGAAUUUGCAGCUACAAUGCAGUCUCCAUUGGUUGGAGGCACACACCCAGAAUUGGUCAAUUUAGUCCAAAUCUAGGUUCCUCACUGGUGCCUGGAUGCUAAGGUCUCACAUAGCAACUGCAAGUAACUUCUACCAUCUCUGCUUAGCUAUGUUGGCUUGGCAGAUGAUGAUCUAGCUUCCUCUAUUCACAACUUGAUCCCCUCUUAGCUGGAUUAUACCAGUGUGAUAUAUCUAGGCAUGAAGCCUUCAGUUCUUAGGAAACUAGUACACUGUGCUGCAGCAUGUCUCCUCAGCAACACAGGCUACUGUAAGCACAUCAAACCUGUCCUUUAUACUGGCUUCCAAUAGGAUAUCAAAUCAAGUUCAAAAUCUUGCUCUCCAGUUGGGGCUCAUCACGAUACCUAAAAGAGUACCUACAACUCCAGGUUGUGGGAGGCAGGGGGAGGAGUUUGUUUCAGAGUUUGAACUGGAGCAAUUAAUAUUUUUGAAAAAUUAUUAUUUUCAAAAUUCAGUUUUGUUUUCCCCUCAAGUCCCCUCACUCCCCCUGCUUUAUGCCACUGAGUAUUGACUGCAAAACAAAGAACAGUGCCCUGCGUUCUUUUGUUUUAUUUCUUUUACUUUUUCUUUUCCCUACUCUGGAACAGAAAAUUAUUCCAAGGCGCUCAUGAAAAAAAUUAAUAUUUAAAAAGUGAGUGCAGCAGGCCCCCUAUAUCUCUGUCUCCAUACCCAGCUACUCCUGUGAAUUACACACCCAAAUUAUGGGUGGCAUGUAUUUUUUGGAAACUUGGGUUUUAAUCUCUUCUAACUUGCAAUUACUAGACUGUAAGUA